rnacentral:lncRNA from 1 species
GACAACAGCACAGAAUUUAAGAGGAGAAUCUUCAGAGUGAUUUAACGUGAAGUUUCAUUCCAGAUCUCCCAGAUUUGUUAGCAUAAUAGCAACAUUGCUCUCCUAGGGCUGCACAUAGCCCUCCCUCUUUCAUAAACCCAAGGUCAAGUCCUCGGCGGUUUUGAAGGACCAUCUCAGCCAGAGAAUCAACUUGUUUUUCCAAAUGAGACACUGACUCGAUACAUCCUGAAAAUUCUUAUUCUAUGAUGGAAGUCAGUGAACCAUCAACCAUUCUAUAUUUAAGAUUUGUAGAGCAAAACUUUGCCACGUUUUCCUGAUGAUUUAACAAAGCUUGAUAUCACAAGUUUUUAAGAAAACUUACCACAUCUCCUACAAUGUGAAAGAGCUGAGAUCAGAAUAAGAAAAACAUUCUGAAGAGAGUUGAGACCAUCCCUGACACAAGUCACCUGGUGUGGACUCUGUUUUGCACCCUGGAAUAUUUUUUCUUCUUGGAGGGGAACCGGAUGUACAGCACGGAGAAGCAUGCCCUUUGGAAAUGUCAGUGAAUACAGUUGUGCUUCUCAGUAAAGGAACAAGUUCUUCUCUACCACUGGAUCAGAGGGUGUAAAGAAAACUUGUAAAGUAUACAAACUUAAGGCCAAAGUUAUGGCGGCAGAAAAAUUAAGAGAAGAGGAAAAAUAAUCUCAAAAGAAGAUAGAAAUGUAGGGUGAAAGAGCCUAAACCUCUUAGGAAUUUUCCACCUUGAUCAAAACAAAACUAAACAAGCAGGAGCUUCUGUAUUUUAUCUCAACAAGGAAACAGGGGAAAUUCUAAACACAAUAAACUUUAUCCCUAAGAAUUUCUUAUAUUUAUCUCCCUACUUGAAUCAGAAAAGCAUUUGAAGUUUCAAAGAUGGAUAUAAAGGUACCGGUUUUUAAGGUACUCAUUUUCAAAGUUUUAAUUUCUUGGACAUGAAUUUAGUGGACUCUGAAAUUUUUAUUUAUGCUUUCAUCUUUAUAAUUUCAAUUAAAUAAGGAUACUAUUUUAAUAUUAUGAAUUCAUGUGUGAAAAUGUUUAUUAUUCUCAUUCUCAUU